rnacentral:misc_RNA from 1 species
AGCAGCCGCGGUAAUUCCAGCUCCGAUAGCGUAUAUUAAAGUUGUUGCAGUUAAAAGCUCGUAGUUGAAUUUCGGGAUCAAAGGAUCGGUCAUGCCUUGGUAUGUACUGGUUUUAUUGGUUCUCACCUUCUAAAGAACCAUAAUGUCAUUCAUUUGAUGUUAUGGGGAAUUAGGACUGUUACCUUGAAAAAUUAGAGUGUUUAAAGCAGGCUUACGCUUGAAUACAUUAGCAUGGAAUAAUGAAAUAGGACAUCAGAUUCUAUUUUGUUGGUUUCUAGGAUCGAUGUAAUGAUUAAUAGGGAUAGUUGGGGGCAUUAGUAUUCAAUUGUCAGAGGUGAAAUUCUUGGAUUUAUUGAAGACUAACUACUGCGAAAGCAUUUGCCAAGGAUGUU